GAUGUCCUACAGAAAUAAACGUUUAAAAUGCAAAGUGUUAAUUAUCUGGGACGGGGUCAUUCAUUAUAACAUUCGGAUUAAUAAACACGAAAACUUUCCAACUCAGUAAAAUAAACCACCUCUGUACUCUGUCAAAAAAAAAAAAAAGAAAAGAAAAGAAAGAAAAAAAAAAAAAACGGGAAAAAGGCUAAUGCAGUCUCUUGAGGGUACCAGCCUUGUGUUGUUCCCCUUGGAACAAGAAGGAACAUGCACUUUCUUGAUGUCACUGUGCAAUGGCACGGGGAUCCCUCCUCACAGUGUUGAGAACAUCAAGCCUGGCGAUACAAAGAGGUUGCGAAGCCAAGUUUCCUCAAAAAUUCUGAGUGUGAGAAUGUUCCCAGCAGUGUUUUCAAGACAACAUUGCCACAUCCAUGGACAGCAACAUGUAGGCCUACAUUUGUCUUUCAAAUGCUGUACGUGUGGUUUUCAUGAGGAGAUCCUUGAUGCAUUUUAAGUGAAUUUUUGCAUAGGCUCCACCAAAUAACAGCUUUGCAAACAUAAGCGUUCUUGGUGCUUGUCUUUAGCAGAUCGGCUGCACUGCAAGUUCUUCCAAUUCUUCUCUGCCCUUCUCUUCAGACCACCCUAGCCUCCAGACAAUUAGGCCUGCCUGCAAACAACUGGACACACUUCUGAUGCUGCCCUAUGCCACCCAAAACUGACAUGUCCUUUGGGCUCCACCUGGGGGCUAAGGGAUCCCAGCACAACAGCAUGGUGACUUCACAUAAGGGACUGCUAUAUCUUGCUCCAAGGGACCUGAACAAGGAAACAGUAUCCACAAAGGCCUGCAUUACCCUUUGCAGAGUGUCCCUCAGGUGAAGUCCACACAGUUGAGCAACGAGGCCCCGCCCCACGACUUCCUGUGAGAGCAAUUCCUGGCUGCUGCUAGUCAGCUCUGGGCCCCCUGCUCUGCAGGUUCUAUGGUGAGGGAGCGCCACUGCCCAGGUCUCCCUCAGGGCCCUAGGAGAAGGCAAGGAGGCCCAGAUGGCAGCCCAAGGAUCUUCCAACUCCCUGCCUGUCCGAUCUGCCCAACAGCAAGGCCUCCUGGGAAGGAGGCAUGAAUGGCGCUGGGUGUCUUGAAACUGUUUCCGCACGAUGGCAGUAGAGCUGCAGACGUGGUUACCAGGACUCAUCCUGGGAGCCCUUCUCCCGCCCUUCCUGUCUGAAAAAACGCUGCCCAGAGAAAAAGGCUAAGGAAACCUGGCUCCCUUGUCUUUUGCCCUCAGAGAAGGAACAAGCUAUCCA